rnacentral:rRNA from 1 species
AGGACGAACGCUGGCGGCGUGCUUAACACAUGCAAGUCGAGCGGUGAUCCUCCUUCGGGAGGUGAGCAGCGGCGAACGGGUGAGUAACACGUGGGCAACCUGCCCCUCACACUGGGAUAACCUCGGGAAACCGGGGCUAAUACCGGAUAUGACCUCGAGCGGCAUCUCUUGAGGUGGAAAGCUCCGACGGUGAGGGAUGGGCCCGCGGCCUAUCAGCUUGUUGGUGGGGUAAUGGCCUACCAAGGCGACGACGGGUAGCCGGCCUGAGAGGGCGACCGGCCACACUGGGACUGAGACACGGCCCAGACUCCUACGGGAGGCAGCAGUGGGGGAAUAUUGCGCAAUGGGCGAAAGCCUGACGCAGCGACGCCGCGUGAGGGAUGAAGGCCUUCGGGUUGUAAACCUCUUUCAGCAGGGACGAAGCGAAAGUGACGGUACCUGCAGAAGAAGCACCGGCUAACUACGCGCCAGCAGCCGC